rnacentral:rRNA from 1 species
AUACGGAGGGGGCAAGCGUUGUUCGGAAUUACUGGGCGUAAAGAGUACGUAGGCGGAUCGUUAAGUUAGAGGUGAAAUCCCAGGGCUCAACCCUGGAACUGCCUUUAAUACUGGCGAUCUAGAGAUCGAGAGAGGUGAGUGGAAUUUCCAGUGUAGAGGUGAAAUUCGUAGAUAUUGGAAAGAACACCAGUGGCGAAGGCGGCUCACUGGCUCGAUACUGACGCUGAGGUACGAAAGCGUGGGGAGCAAACAGGAUUAGAAACCCGAGUAGUCC